GCCUUCGUAGCUCAGAUGGUAGAGCGCGUUCUUGGUAAGAACGAGGUCUCGGGUUCGAUUCCCGACGAAGGCUCAA
rnacentral:tRNA from 1 species